UCAACCGAGUUUCUUUUCCUUUUUCGCUUUUGUUUUGAAUCCUACAAGACAACCGUCUCUCGCAAUGAAAACUUGGGUAAACUUCAAGCUGGUUAUCUCUUUCCUGAGAUUGCUAGAAGAAAGUCUGCACACUUGCUCAAGUACCCUGAUGCAAUAACAAUAAGCCUUGGGAUUGGUGAUACUACUGAACCCAUUCCUGAAGUCAAAAGUUCUGCAUUGACAAAGGUAGAACAUUGGUGUUAGUGAAGCCGAUGUAUGUGUCUUCCAUGUUUGCACUUUCGACAGUAGAAAAUAAUCUGUUUUGUUUCUCUUUUUUCUCUGCUUCGGAUGCCUUAUUUUGAUGUUGUCAUCUCCCAU